rnacentral:rRNA from 1 species
GCUAUACAUGCAGUCGAGCGAACAGAUAAGGAGCUUGCUCCUUUGACGUUAGCGGCGGACGGGUGAGUAACACGUGGGUAACCUACCUAUAAGACUGGGAUAACUUCGGGAAACCGGAGCUAAUACCGGAUAAUAUUUCGAACCGCAUGGUUCGAUAGUGAAAGAUGGUUUUGCUAUCACUUAUAGAUGGACCCGCGCCGUAUUAGCUAGUUGGUAAGGUAACGGCUUACCAAGGCGACGAUACGUAGCCGACCUGAGAGGGUGAUCGGCCACACUGGAACUGAGACACGGUCCAGACUCCUACGGGAGGCAGCAGUAGGGAAUCUUCCGCAAUGGGCGAAAGCCUGACGGAGCAACGCCGCGUGAGUGAUGAAGGUCUUCGGAUCGUAAAACUCUGUUAUUAGGGAAGAACAUACGUGUAAGUAACUGUGCACGUCUUGACGGUACCUAAUCAGAAAGCCACGGCUAACUACGUGCCAGCAGCCGCGGUAAUACGUAGGUGGCAAGCGUUAUCCGGAAUUAUUGGGCGUAAAGCGCGCGUAGGCGGUUUUUUAAGUCUGAUGUGAAAGCCCACGGCUCAACCGUGGAGGGUCAUUGGAAACUGGAAAACUUGAGUGCAGAAGAGGAAAGUGGAAUUCCAUGUGUAGCGGUGAAAUGCGCAGAGAUAUGGAGGAACACCAGUGGCGAAGGCGACUUUCUGGUCUGUAACUGACGCUGAUGUGCGAAAGCGUGGGGAUCAAACAGGAUUAGAUACCCUGGUAGUCCACGCCGUAAACGAUGAGUGCUAAGUGUUAGGGGGUUUCCGCCCCUUAGUGCUGCAGCUAACGCAUUAAGCACUCCGCCU